GGCCCGUUGGUCAAGCGGUUAAGACACCGCCCUUUCACGGCGGUAACGAGAGUUCGAUUCUCUCACGGGUCACCA
rnacentral:tRNA from 1 species